rnacentral:tRNA from 1 species
GCCUUCGUGGUGUAAUGGUCAGCACACUGAGCCGGUAUUUCAGAGGUCCGUGGUUCGAUUCCCAGCAAAGGCG